ACGAGGCAAUACAAAUGGCUCAGUUGGUAAAGUGCUUGCCUUGUAAGCAUGAGGACCUGGGUUCAAGCCCCAGUGCCUGUA